CUGAGGAACGACUCGUACUUGCCGUGCAUCUCUGCGCCCACACACCCGCCGUCUUCCUUUUUAGUUUUGUUUUCAUCUGUCUUGUGUCUCGCCUUUUGCGCGCAGUCUCCUCCCCUCCUCCCUUCCUCCCAUCCUCCCAUCCUCCCCUCCGGCCAAGUGCCGCUUUCUAUCUCACCCCAUCAUUGUCUCUAGCGCCCCUGCCCGCCAUCUCCAUUUUUGAUUUGCACCUCAUUUUUUUUUUCGGUUUCGCAAGGCGAGACCCGCACAUAUCCAGCGAAAGGGGCCAGUCUCUGCUCAGCUGCAUAACGCCUUGGCCACUUCCCAUGCAGGCAUGUCAGAGGCGCCGCCCUCUCACCUUCUCCCAGGAUGAUGUUCUGUCUGAAAAAGGAUGUGAAGCGGUCGAGCUGCAGGGCGUACGUGUCACUGUAUGUGCGCUUCGUGGUGCAGAUGGGUAGACGGCUUGGGGCGGUGUGCGGCUCCGAGAAGGCCGGUGUCGGCUGCGCCAUCCUCGCUGCUAUCUGCCUCGUGGGGCUUGGCUUGCUCUUUCUGGCGGAGCUGGCGCAGAUGACUACCGUCGCUCUCGCAGCCCUCCUCUCACUCAGCGCGUCGUCUCCGCCGCGGGGUCGCCGGGGCAGCGACACCUCCGCCGCCGUCGACUUUUCGGUGCGCAGCUUUGCCUUCCGCGACAUGAGCGAGGCAGACCGGCAGAGGGAGCGCGAGCUGCACGUACGUCUCAUUGAGGAGCGGCUCCUGGAGGAGAAGCGCAGGCCGAGGAUUGAUGCGACGCACGUCAUCAAGGGCGAGACGGACCCGAACGCGUUUCGCUUGACGGGCGCCGCUGGCGACGCAGCAGUGCGACCGGUGGAUGCGGUUGUGGAUGGCUAUUCACUGGUGCGGCAGCCCGGCACCGCACCGCUGCCGCGCAUGCACACCAUGUGGCGUAUCCACUCCCCGGCGGAGCUUUACGAGCGCUACGAUGCGUUGGACGUCAUCUACAGCUUCGUCAACGGCAGCGAGGCGAACCAUGAGUAUCGAAAGCAACUCCGCUCCAGCUGUGGGCCGCAGAUUCUAGCGCUCGAGAAGCAGUACUUCCUGAGUGGCCAUACGUCCACGGCGUCGCCUUCGACCCCAGAAGCGAGACCAAGGGGUGUUCAACCGUUGCUGGCGCAGCUAGCUUCUCAGUGCCCCCUUUACCAGUCGCUUCUCCGUAAGCGCAACGGCGAGCUGAUGAAGCUCUUUGGCGGCAGCGCGAACACGGUACGAGUCGACGAGCGUGAUCGCGAGACGGACGAGCUGCGGCACAGCCUGCGCAGCGUGGAGCAGCACGUGCGGUGGCACCGCGGCCGCGUGGUGAUGGUGUCGCCCGGGCACCACCCGACGUGGGUGGACGGCGCGAAGAACUUCCUUGCUGGGAUGUGCGGCGGUGCGCGCGUGCAGGCGCUGCGGUCGAGCGGGACGCACCUGCGCGUGACGACUGUGCACCAGGACGCCGUGAUGCCGUACGGGAUGCGGCUGACGGUGGACUCGCACGUGAUCGAGCAGCACCUGUGGCGCGUGCGCAACAUGACACCCGUGCACGUGUACAUGAACGACGACUACUUUGUGAACCGCGACGUUGCGAUCACGGACCUGUUCAACGAGUACGGCGGCACGAUUGUGCGGACGGAAGGGCCAAGUGUGGCGGAGGGACGUAGAGGGGAUGUCUCCGCCUCGUGGGUCGAGGGUGUGGCGAACACGGAGCUUUUUAACAUCUACCACCUGGAGCAUUUACACGAGGACUUCCUUCCUCGGCCGCUGCUGGACAGCUGGAGAAGGUUGCUCAAGCGGAGCGGACAUGAGACGCAGUCUGCCAGCAACGGGCUGAUGUCCUUCCUGAAAUGGAAGCUAAGCGAAAUGUUGGCGCCAGCACGACGUCGCGGCGUGGGCACGACGGAUGGCGGCGCCGACGACGCCGCUGCGCGUGCGGAAUUCGAGCAAGAGGCUCGCUACAUCCUCGGCUUCUCUGACUUGCUUAGUGCUGCGAACACGUCCUCAUACUGGGAGGCUGCCUUGUCAAAUCCAACCACGCCAACGUCGCUGCCGUCGGGACGCCACAGAGGUGUUCAGAAGCACUACUACGCCACCCACGCGCCGUUCGUGUACUGCACGAACAUGUUCCGGCACUGGUCCGUGCGGUUCCGCGACGAGUUUGCCGACCUCCAGCUGCAUCAUCGAGAGCGCCGCGCCCGGGACCUGUUUGUACCCUUCCUCUACAACGCCUUCAUCAUGGCGCGGCCGUGGCAGGCGUCGCCGAAGUUCCUGCCGUACCUGCUGGAGCUGAAGGAGGCCAUGGAGGCCGCCGCAGCUGACGCGAAGGCGAUGCUGGCGCACCUGCGACAGACGGAGACGGUCUCCCUCAUGGAUGCACUGAGGGAGGAGUUCCAGAAGCACCUGGCGAAAUAUGUGCCGAUGGUUUCCAUCUUCCUUGACAACGACGAUGGCUGCGCGCCAGCAACACUGUACCGUAAUCCGGCGGCUGAGGUGAUGUACAUGCGAGCAACAAACAACAUCGAGGAAAACAAGCGAGCCAUGGAUGACGUGGCGCGGCAGGAUCCGCUGUACUUCAACAUCAACGCCGGGUUCAGCAGCGCGGAGGCUGCGGACCAGCUGCGCCGCUUCCUGCACGGCAAGUUUCCGACUCCGGUGUACCUGGAGGUGGGCGGAGCCCCGCCCCCCGGCGAGGGCCUCGUAGACGGCGCGGGGGAGGUGGUGGGCGGCAGGACGAGGGCUGCCGGGGCCGCCGCGGCUGCUGAGGAGGAAGCGCUGUCGAGGCUGUUUGGCGACCUGAUGGCGCUGCCGGUGGUGGGCGUUGUGUCGUACGAGGAGGGCGUGUGCCCGCUUGUGCGGAGCCUUGCGCUUGCGUUCGCGGGGCACCACCGUGGCGGCGUGCGUGUGAGCGUGGAGCAGCACGGCGGCGCGGCGCUGCGUGAGGCGCGCGCUGCGCUUGGGCACCGCGUGGUGAGCGCGAUGCCUGCGCCUGCGUGCGCGUACAAGGAGCAGGUGAGCGUGGACCCCGCGGCACGGGGUGAGAGCGUUGCCGAGAUUGCCCGGCGCGCCAUGGGUGAAAUGCGGGGCGGCGUGGAGCUGCCGUCGACGUGCGGCGCCGGCGGCGCUGGGCUGCGCGUGCACGGGUUCGUGGUGGACGCGCGGACGCGCGGGGCGCCUGUGCGGAGCGCUGCUGCGCUGCGGGACGCGCUUGCGGUGCCUGCGCAGACGCUGUCGCUGGAGGACUUCCGCGCCGUUGCUGUUGGGCCGUCGGAGGGCGACGUGGUGCUGGUUGUGUCGCGCGAGGACGCGGAGGCGAAGGCGGUGCACUGGGUGAAUGGGGCGUCGGAGAGUGACCUGCUUGUGACGUACCCGCUGCCGGUGGAGGCGUACGAGGACAUGGGCGCGGAGGUGCGGUGGUCGGUGCCGUAGUGGUCUCUGUGGCGGUGAGCGCUGCAAAUCGUGAGCGAAGACGAGAGGUUCGACGAAAAUUAUCUGCGCUUGCGUGUAGUUGCCUCUGUCUUUGUACGAUCGUUGUCUGGAGUUGCAGCCGGAUACCGGAGUUCGUGGUUUCGGUUUUGGUGGCCGCACCUCUCUUACGGAAAGGCUCAUGUGUCCGUUUCCGGAUCGUCGAGGUGGCGAAACAGAGGCAAGUCAGGAGCCAGUGUACGAGCACAACGAGCACUAACCGAAUAGGCGUGCCUCGGGAAGCAGCAGCGACGGGUUUUGGUGUGGUGGCGGCGCGUUUUGUUUUUUGUUUCUCUUGAAUCUGUGCUACUCGGUACGUGGGGAGCCGGUGCGCCUGUCUUUGUCAUGUCGCGUGUUCGCCUGCUUGGAGAUGAUGUGGGCGGGUGUGGGCUGGGUGGUGAUAGUCAUUGUGGUGGACAGCAGUUGCGUGCGCGGGCCGAGGCGCAACCUCUCUUCUGGCACCGUUCUCCUUUCUUGUGUAGCAUAGCGGCUUCAUCCUGCGUUGCUCAGAGUGGCUCAUGGCACGGCUUGCCCCUCCACCUUCCCCCCUCUGCAGCCCAGCGUCUCAAGGGAAAUGGGCACGUCUUCUUGCUCUCCUUCUGACGCGGACGACAGCGGAGGAAGGUGUGUGUGCGUGUGGAGGGCGUGGUGGGUGCGCUGGGCAAGUGCUUCAGUAGAUUGACGCGGACAUCAUCUUCACUGCCUCCGAUGUUUCUCCCUCGACGUGCAUGCCUCGGGAGGGACGAGAGCACGGGUGGACCUGCUGCUGAGCGCACUUGCAGAUGUCUUGCUCGUGCUCGUUGACGCAUCGUAUCUCUCUGCGCACGCACUCUCGCCCGCGUGCCUCACUCCUUCCUCGCUCUUCUCUCCACCCUCCGCGCGUGCGCGCCGUUCCUCGCUUGCCACUCGUGUAUGUAUGUCGCGGUGUUUUCGUGCGCCUGCUGGCCAAUAGGCAGCUGCUCGCGCGCUUUUCCAGCGGGCAUCGCUGAGGACGAG
rnacentral:misc_RNA from 1 species